GAUGAACGCUGGCGGCGUGCUUAACACAUGCAAGUCGAACGAAGCAUUUGCGACAGAUUUUUUCGGAAUGAAGUUGCUUGUGACUGAGUGGCGGACGGGUGAGUAACGCGUGGGUAACCUGCCUUGUACUGGGGGAUAGCAGCUGGAAACGGCUGGUAAUACCGCAUAAGCGCACAAUGUUGCAUGACAUGGUGUGAAAAACUCCGGUGGUAUAAGAUGGACCCGCGUCUGAUUAGCUAGUUGGUGAGAUAACAGCCCACCAAGGCGACGAUCAGUAGCCGACCUGAGAGGGUGACCGGCCACAUUGGGACUGAGACACGGCCCAGACUCCUACGGGAGGCAGCAGUGGGGAAUAUUGCACAAUGGAGGAAACUCUGAUGCAGCGACGCCGCGUGAGUGAAGAAGUAAUUCGUUAUGUAAAGCUCUAUCAGCAGGGAAGAUAGUGACGGUACCUGACUAAGAAGCUCCGGCUAAAUACGUG
rnacentral:rRNA from 1 species